GACGAACGCUGGCGGCGUGCCUAACACAUGCAAGUCGAACGGAACUGUUUUGAAAGAUUUCUUCGGAAUGAAUUUGAUUUAGUUUAGUGGCGGACGGGUGAGUAACGCGUGAGUAACCUGCCUUCAAGAGGGGGAUAACAUUCUGAAAAGAAUGCUAAUACCGCAUGACAUAUCGGAAUCACAUGAUUUUGAUAUCAAAGAUUUUAUCGCUUGAAGAUGGACUCGCGUCCGAUUAGUUAGUUGGUGAGGUAACGGCUCACCAAGACCGCGAUCGGUAGCCGGACUGAGAGGUUGAACGGCCACAUUGGGACUGAGACACGGCCCAGACUCCUACGGGAGGCAGCAGUGGGGGAUAUUGCGCAAUGGGGGCAACCCUGACGCAGCAACGCCGCGUGAAGGAUGAAGGUUUUCGGAUUGUAAACUUCUUUUAUUAAGGACGAAACUUGACGGUAC
rnacentral:rRNA from 1 species